AUGUUUGGCCCAUAUCCUACUCGUGUGCCUCCUCCUGCCGUUAUCCUUACCUCGUGGAGUUACCCCAGCCACGGAACAACUCUUCUUCUCCACUCCCCUGUCUCUCCCAAGGCCGACGGGGCACCGUCGCUCUCCGGCAAGAUGUUUGGGGUCGACUCCGACAGAUCCAGUCCACCUGCUUCACCACGCCGGAGUCUAUGGAAGUCCCUCGGCCUGGAGAGUGCAGGUGGCCAGUUCUGGACACUGACCCUCUAGCCGUGAUGAGGCUGGUCGAGUAGCAGGCUUCUCUUUGUAUCGCCAAUGGGGAAAUCUGACGUGCCGAGAAACUAGGCGACGCCAGGCAAAGCGUUAGAUUCCUCUGAAUUUGACAGGAUUCAGGUGUGAUCUAAAGCUACCAACGGCUGGACUGGAGGUUUGGGAUGGGGGUAGCAGUAGUGAAGCGUGAGGUCGAUCGGUUAUUUAUAACCAAGUUGGAAGUUUGUUCAUGGCUAAUGGUGUUUGGUGUUUUCUUUUUCUAUUGUUAGAAAAUGCAAAUGAUUUGGUUCUAUUGGAACAUAAAAGAGAUAUGAAGGCAAUUUGUCGAACCCGUGUGUGAUAAUUCGUUGAUUGCUCCUACCAA